rnacentral:tRNA from 2 species
GGCGCUUUGGCGGAGUGGUUAACGCGAUGCCCUGCUAUAUUUCGCGAUAUACUGGGAAGGCAUUUCCUUCGGGAGCGCAGGUUCGAAUCCUGCAGGCGUCG